GAAUGAGAGAAAGAGAAAUAGUCAAGCCUGCUUUUAGACUGCACAGACCUGGGCUAACCUGUUAAUGUCCUUGGAAUCUUUACCCCUAGAAAACAGAGGACAGUUAGUGCCGUAGACUCUGACCAGCUUGGUUUGUGACUCACUCUCCCUACUGGUGGGAAGUAGAAUCAUGACCGGAAACCUUGAUCUUGAGGAGAUCAAAAAACACAGAGCAAAGAUCAAGAAGAAGGGGAGUAGGAGCAAGAAAAACUCGAGCAUCCCUGCCGCAGUAGAGGAGAAAGUUACAAAGGAGUAGAGAAGAACACCAAUAUGGAUCAAGGAAGGAUUGAAAGACAGUAAAGGGCACACUAAGACUCUGUACAAAGAGGGAGAGAAGAUAUAGCCUCUUCCUAUGUGUGAUUCUCUUUCUUCCUCCCUAUGUGGAUAGCU
rnacentral:lncRNA from 1 species